UACGGAAGGCAGCAGUGGGGAAUAUUGCACAAUGGGCGAAAGCCUGAUGCAGCUAUGCCGCGUGUAUGAAGAAGGCCUUAGGGUUGUAAAGUACUUUCAUCGGGGAGGAAAAAACAAAACUAAUAAUUUUAUUUCUUGACGUUACCCGAAAAAGAAGCACCGGCUAACUCCGUGCCAGCAGCCGCGGUAAUACGGAGGGUGCUAGCGUUAAUCAGAAUUACUGGGCGUAAAGAGCACGUAGGUGGUUUUUUUAAAGUCAGAUGUGAAAUCCCUGGGCUUAACCUAGGAACUGCAUUUUGAAACUGAAAUACUAGAGUAUCGUAGAGGGAGGUAGAAUUCUAGGUGUAGCGGUGAAAUGCGUAGAUAUCUGGAGGAAUACCUGUGGCGAAAGCGGCCUCCUAAACGAAUACUGACACUGAGGUGCGAAAGCGUGGGGAGCAAACGAGGAUUAGACUACC
rnacentral:rRNA from 1 species